GCAGAGGCGUCGCAGAGCAGCGGGCCGGUGGGGGUGGCCGGCGCUGACCACAGCUCACCUGUGAGCUUAAAGCAAGGAGCGGUGUGCAGACUGGGAGAGGCAGAUGUGCACAGGUGGUAAGGGCAGGAGUAGACAGUCGGGAGGGACGGGCUUGGAAAGCUGGUUUGUGCUUUGUCUGCAUUUGCUAAUUACAGAGAGCAGUGCAGGGCGGUUGGGGUCACACGGGAUGUGGGGACUGAAGGUCAGUUUGGGACUUCUUGUCCAAGAUGUUCACGAACCAAGUGAAUGCGUGUGUCUCCUCUCCUUCCCCAGAGCCUUGACACGACAGUGAAUUUAUCUUGUUUAUGUGUACAGAUCAGUGUCCGGGAGGGCCAGGAAGAGGACUAAUAGACAGAGCCGGGCUGUCCGGAAUACCAGUGAGAGGGCCCUGCCCAGACCCCGGACUGAUUACAUCGGAAUCUCUGGGAUCGUGCCCAGGGGACAGCAUUUCAGCAAUGACCCAGCAGGCCUCAGAAGCAGGCGGCCAUGGAGAAAGCAGACGCUCAGAGAGGUUCCCUCGAUCACAGAUGGCCGAGCAGAGCUGGGAAUAAACCCGAACCUUGUGAUGUGGACACACGGCCUUUUCCUCCAAACCACGACGCCUCCUUUGUCAUAACGAUGACCAUGAGUCAUCAAGAAAAGAAAAGUGUCUUCCAGAACCGGGCACCCAUUCCGCUCUGUUGGUAUUUGCAACGGUGAUGGGUAUGUCGCCUGUUUCUACUGUAAUAAGCGUGCUGCUGCUGCACUUGGCCCACAAUGCUUAGCGCGAUCCCAUCUGAGAAAU